rnacentral:rRNA from 1 species
UGCAGUCGCACGGCAGCACGGACUUCGGUCUGGUGGCGAGUGGCGAACGGGUGAGUAAUGUAUCGGAACGUGCCUAGUAGCGGGGGAUAACUACGCGAAAGCGUAGCUAAUACCGCAUACGCCCUACGGGGGAAAGCAGGGGAUCGCAAGACCUUGCACUAUUAGAGCGGCCGAUAUCGGAUUAGCUAGUUGGUGGGGUAACGGCUCACCAAGGCGACGAUCCGUAGCUGGUUUGAGAGGACGACCAGCCACACUGGGACUGAGACACGGCCCAGACUCCUACGGGAGGCAGCAGUGGGGAAUUUUGGACAAUGGGGGAAACCCUGAUCCAGCCAUCCCGCGUGUGCGAUGAAGGCCUUCGGGUUGUAAAGCACUUUUGGCAGGAAAGAAACGUCAUGGGUUAAUACCCCGUGAAACUGACGGUACCUGCAGAAUAAGCACCGGCUAACUACGUGCCAGCAGCCGCGGUAAUACGUAGGGUGCAAGCGUUAAUCGGAAUUACUGGGCGUAAAGCGUGCGCAGGCGGUUCGGAAAGAAAGAUGUGAAAUCCCAGAGCUCAACUUUGGAACUGCAUUUUUAACUACCGGGCUAGAGUGUGUCAGAGGGAGGUGGAAUUCCGCGUGUAGCAGUGAAAUGCGUAGAUAUGCGGAGGAACACCGAUGGCGAAGGCAGCCUCCUGGGAUAAC